AUGGAGGUCGGGGCACUGAUCCGGGUCCCGGACAACCCACAGGCUGCCCCCGAUCAAGCUGGCCUGUACCAAAUACCUUGAUUGGCCUGGAGAGACCGUAAAAAGCCUCAGGGGGAACAGAGAGA